rnacentral:tmRNA from 1 species
GGGGAUGAUUAGGAUUCGACCGGAAGAGUGAAGUCAAUAUUGCAUGUAGAGGUGAGGGUGGCCUCUUAAAAAACUCUCAAAAAGAUAAUCGCAAACGAUGAAUCUUACGCUUUAGCUGCUUAAUAAGUAAGCGAAGCACAAAUGUAACAGCAGCUUAAAAACCUGUGUGUUACCCUGGACCUAAGUUUGCCAAUAGGUUUAGUAAUCCGGGUCACUUAUAUUGGAUCGAGCAAAGCCUUAGUUGGUGGUGUAGCUUUAAACUUAAUCAACCUGGUCUUAUUAUAGUGUGUCAGUCCACGAUAUUAAGGCGAGAUUAAAAGACAUGACUAAACAUGUAGUAAUAGAGAGGGAGCCUUUUGGGACGCGGGUUCAAAUCCCGCCAUCUCCACCA